GGGUUGUGAGGUUAAGCGACCAAGCGUACACGGUGGAUGCCCUGGCAGUCAGAGGCGAUGAAGGACGUGCUAAUCUGCGAAAAGCGCCGGUAAGGUGAUAUGAACCGUUAUAACCGGCGAUGUCCGAAUGGGGAAACCCAGUGUGACUCGUCACACUAUCAUUAACUGAAUCCAUAGGUUAAUGAGGCGAACCGGGGGAACUGAAACAUCUAAGUACCCCGAGGAAAAGAAAUCAACCGAGAUUCCCCCAGUAGCGGCGAGCGAACGGGGAGGAGCCCAGAGCCUGAAUCAGCAUGUGUGUUAGUGGAAGCGUCUGGAAAGGCGCGCGAUACAGGGUGACAGCCCCGUACACAAAAGCGCAUAUGCUGUGAGCUCGAUGAGUAGGGCGGGACACGUGGUAUCCUGUCUGAAUAUGGGGGGACCAUCCUCCAAGGCUAAAUACUCCUGACUGACCGAUAGUGAACCAGUACCGUGAGGGAAAGGCGAAAAGAACCCCGGCGAGGGGAGUGAAACAGAACCUGAAACCGUGUACGUACAAGCAGUGGGAGCCCCACCACUAAGCCAGUGGUGAACUCCACAUACGCAUCCUUUGCGGAAGAUGCGGUUAACGGAGCGAAAGCGACGUUCAACCUCAGAAGAAGCAGAGGGGGCUUAGUGGUGGGGUGACUGCGUACCUUUUGUAUAAUGGGUCAGCGACUUAUAUUCUGUAGCAAGGUUAACCGCAUAGGGGAGCCGAAGGGAAACCGAGUCUUAA
rnacentral:rRNA from 2 species